rnacentral:rRNA from 1 species
AAAGUCCCCUUCGGGGGGCGAGUAGAGUGGCGCACGGGUGAGUAACACGUAGGUAAUCUACCUUUGGAUUGGGAAUAACAACCGGAAACGGUUGCUAAUACCGAAUAAUGCAGCGGCACCUAAUGGUGACAGUUGUUAAAGCGGGGGAUCGCAAGACCUCGCGUCUGAAGAGGAGCCUGCGGCAGAUUAGCUAGUUGGUAAGGUAACGGCUUACCAAGGCGAUGAUCUGUAGCCGGCCUGAGAGGGCGGUCGGCCACACUGACACUGACAUACGGGUCAGACUCCUACGGGAGGCAGCAGUCGGGAAUUUUGGGCAAUGGGCGAAAGCCUGACCCAGCAACGUCGCGUGAAGGAUGAAAUCCCUCGGGAUGUAAACUUCGCAAGAACGGGAAGAAUAAGUAAGAGUUAAUAUCUCUUACGAUGACGGUACUGUUUGUAAGCUCCGGCUAACUCCGUGCCAGCAGCCGCGGUAAUACGGGGGGAGCAAGCGUUGUUCGGAUUUACUGGGCGUAAAGGGCGCGUAGGCGGCCACCGCAAGUCGACUGUGAAAUCUCCGGGCUUAACCCGGAAAGGUCAGCCGAUACUGCGGGGCUAGAGUGCAGAAGGGGCAACUGGAAUUCUCGGUGUAGCGGUGAAAUGCGUAGAUAUCGAGAGGAACACCUGCGGCGAAGGCGGGUUGCUGGGCUGACACUGACGCUGAGGCGCGAAAGCUAGGGGAGCGAACGGGAUUAGAUACCCCGGUAGUCCUAGCCUUAAACGAUGAAUGCUUGGUGUCUGGGGUUU